rnacentral:rRNA from 1 species
AAAUUUGUUAAAAUUUUGUAAUUUUUAUUAAAAUUUUAUAAAUUAAUAAUGAUUUAUUACAGAAAUGGAUUUAAAAUUUAAAAAAAUUAGGAUUUUCAAUCUGUACCUUUUGUAUCAGGGGAAUAGGAAAUUAUUUAGGAUUAAAAUUUCCCGAAAAGAAUUGAUUUUCUGUCUUAUUUUGUCUAUGUUACAAAAUAGUGUAAAAUUGGAUAGAGGAAGUGAAAAAUUAUUCGGAAUUCUUGAUAACUGGUUUUUCUGGAAAGUUCUUUAGGGGCUAAUUUAAUAUUAUUUAAAUUUAAAAGUGCCAGGGGAUAAGCUUUGGCAUAAAAGACAUAAUAGCUUCUAGUUAUCAAAAUUUUUGAAAAAUAUUGGAUUUAUUAUUAUUUUUUCCAUACAGAAAAAAAAGGUAUAAUGUUUAUUCCAUUUAUAGAAUCUGUUUAUUAGUAAUUAUUCAAAAUUUAGUCGUAAGGAACUCGGCAAAAAUGUUUUUGCCUGUUUAAUAAAAACAUCUCUUUUAGAAAUAAUUAAAGGUAUGCCCUGCUCAAUGCUGUUGUCGUAAAUAGCUGCGGAAAUUUAACCGUACGAAGGUAGCAUAAUAAUUUGUCCUUUAAAUGAGGUCUGGAAUGAAUGGGUUGACAAAAAACAAUCUGUCUCAGAUUAAAAUUUAUGAAAUUAAAGUUUUAGUCAAAAUGCUAAAAUUUGUCAGUGGGACGAGAAGACCCUGUAGAUUUUUACUGGCUACUUUGUAAUUUCGAUUUAGCUAGGUUGCUUGGGAUGAGAAAAUUGAUAAAACAUUUUUUACAAAAAAGCCACAAAGCUUUAUGAGCCGUCAAUGGCGAUUAAAGGAAUAAUUACCUCAGGGAUAACAGCGUAAUUACCUUUUUCAGACCUGAUGGAGAAGGGAGUUUACGACCUCGAUGUUGAAUUAAGUUCUACUUUCAUAGAAGCAUGUGAAAGAGUUAGACUGUUCGUCUAUUAAAAACUUACAUGAUUUGAGUUUAGACCGACGUGAGUCAGGUCAGAUUCUAUCUACUGAAAUUGAAUAUUCAUUCUAGUACGAAAGGACAGAAGGAAUUAUAUCAAUUUUAUAAAUUC